rnacentral:rRNA from 1 species
UUCCCUGAACCGCAUGGUCAAGGAUGAAAGACGGUUUCGGCUGUCACUUACAAGAUGACCCGACGGCGCAUUAGCUAGUUGUGGGGUAAUGGCUCACCAAGGCGACGAUGCGUAGCCGACCUGAGAGGGGUGAUCGGCCACACUGGGACUGAGACACGGCCCAGACUCCUACGGGAGGCAGCAAGUAGGGAAUCUUCCGCAAUGGACGAAAGUCUGACGGAGCAACGCCGCGUGAGUGAUGAAGGUUUUCGGAUCGUAAAGCUCUGUUGUUAGGGAAGAACAAGUGCGAGAGUAACUGCUCGCACCUUGACGGUACCUAACCAGAAAGCCACGGCUAACUACGUGCCAGCAGCCGCGGUAAUACGUAGGUGGCAAGCGUUGUCCGGAAUUAUUGGGCGUAAAGGGCUCGCAGGCGGUUUCUUAAGUCUGAUGUGAAAGCCCCCGGCUCAACCGGGGAGGGUCAUUGGAAACUGGGAAACUUGAGUGCAGAAGAGGAGAGUGGAAUUCCACGUGUAGCGGUGAAAUGCGUAGAGAUGUGGAGGAACACCAGUGGCGAAGGCGACUCUCUGGUCUGUAACUGACGCUGAGGAGCGAAAGCUUCUGGCCCUUUUUCAGGAUUAGAUACCCUGGUAGUCCACGGGGUGGGGGUAGCUAGUGUUAGGGGGUUCCGCC